AUCACUUCUCGGCCUUUUGGCUAAGAUCAAGUGUAAAAUCUUCCUCCUAUUCUACAGUCCAAUGUAGAUGAUUCUCCUCUUGUCCCUUUAGGGCUUCAUAAAGGAGUUUAGAGAUUUCUGUAAAACCCAGAAUCCAAAUUUUACAGAAGCUUGCCACUCCAAGAAACUCUCUCAGCUGCUUCUUGGUGUGGAGCUUAGGGAUGGCACUGAUAACUUUUCAUUUCCAUGCCCUGU
ensembl:snRNA U2 U2 spliceosomal RNA